CGCGUAGGUGGUUAAUUAAGUCAGAUGUGAAAGCCCAGGGCUCAACCUUGGAACUGCAUUUGAAACUGGUUGACUAGAGUUUUGUAGAGGGUGGUAGAAUUUCAGGUGUAGCGGUGAAAUGCGUAGAGAUCUGAAGGAAUACCAGUGGCGAAGGCGGCCACCUGGACAAAGACUGACACUGAGGCGCGAAGGCGUGGGGAGCAAACAGGAUUAGAUACCCUGGUAGUC
rnacentral:rRNA from 1 species